AAAAAAACGAAGGAGUGUUAAAGCUGAAGAUCACAGAGUGAAAGAGCCUCUUUCUGAACCGGAUUCAGCCAAUGACGCUCCGUAUGCCAGUGUGAAACCCAGAAGAUUCAGAGGAAAAACUCCUGAAUCCAGAGACACUGAGGAGAUCCAGUACGCAACUGUCCAACAUCACAGAAAGAUAGAGACGAAGAGAGCAGAGGAGAAUGAAAGUCAAUAUGAUGAUAUAAGAGUUUAUCAGCCGGAUGCUGCAGUGAGGCGAUCAUCUGUUCAGAUUGUGGAAGAUGCAUCAGUGAUCUACAGCAGCGUCAAAUGAGUGAUAGAAGCCUGUGUUCAGAUAUUAAUCUAGACUAUAAAAUGGAUUAUUGGAUAGUUGUGGAAUAAUUUACCCAUCUCGAACCACAACCAACAAACAGGUUCAUCACACACAUUAAGAUGCAUUAGUUUUAUUUUACUCUUUGUGAGAGAAUGGCAGUCAUUGUGGUCUUGACUGAUG